UACGUAGGGGGGCAAGCGUUGUCCGGAUUUAUUGGGCGUAAAGAGCGUGUAGGCGGCCUUACAGGUCAGCUGUGAAAACUCGAGGCUCAACCUCGAGACGUCGGUUGAAACCGUAUGGCUAGAGUCCGGAAGAGGAGAGUGGAAUUCCCCGGUGUAGCGGUGAAAUGCGCCAGAUAUCAGGAGGAACACCGGUGGCGAAGGCGGGUCUCUGGGCAGUAACUGACGCUGAGGAGCGAAAGCGUGGGUAGCAAACAGG
rnacentral:rRNA from 1 species